rnacentral:tRNA from 1 species
CCCCUGAUGGUCUAGUUGGAUAUGGCGCUCGGCUGUAAUAUUCUUUAAAGAAAAUAUCUUUGUAACCGAGAGGUCCCCGGAUCGAUCCCGGGUCGGGGGA